GAUGAACGCUGGCGGCGUGCCUAACACAUGCAAGUCGAACGGAGAUUACGGACGGAAGUUUUCGGAUGGAAGCCUGUAAUUCUUAGUGGCGGACGGGUGAGUAACGCGUGGGCAACCUGCCCUAUACAGGGGGAUAGCAGCUGGAAACGGCUGGUAAGACCGCAUAAGUCGGUUAAAUCGCAUUAUUUGAUCGGGAAAUGAGCAAUCAGGUAUAGGAUGGGCCCGCGUCCGAUUAGCCAGUUGGCAGGGUAAAAGCCUACCAAAGCGACGAUCGGUAGCCGGACUGAGAGGUCGGACGGCCACAUUGGGACUGAGACACGGCCCAAACUCCUACGGGAGGCAGCAGUGGGGGAUAUUGCACAAUGGAGGAAACUCUGAUGCAGCGACGCCGCGUGAGUGAAGAAGUAUUUCGGUAUGUAAAGCUCUAUCAGCAGGGAAGAUGAUGACGGUACCUGAAGAAGAAGCCCCGGCUAACUACGUG
rnacentral:rRNA from 1 species